rnacentral:rRNA from 1 species
GACGAACCGUGCGAACGUUGUUCGGAAUCACUGGGCUUAAAGGGCGCGUAGGCGGGUCAUCAAGUCAGGGGUGAAAUCUUUCGGCUCAACCGGAAAACAGCCUCUGAUACUGGUGGUCUGGAGGGAGGUAGGGGCAGAUGGAACUUCCGGUGGAGCGGUGAAAUGUGUUGAUAUCGGAAGGAACGCCGGUGGCGAAAGCGAUCUGCUGGACCUCUUCUGACGCUGAGGCGCGAAAGCCAGGGGAGCAAACGGG